rnacentral:rRNA from 1 species
UACGUAGGGGGCAAGCGUUGUCCGGAAUCAUUGGGCGUAAAGCGCACGUAGGCGGCCCGAUAAGUCCGCUGUAAAAGUCAAAGGCUCAACCUUUGAAAGCCGGUGGAUACUGUCGGGCUAGAGUCCGGAAGAGGCGAGUGGAAUUCCUGGUGUAGCGGUGGAAUGCGCAGAUAUCAGGAGGAACACCGAUAGCGAAGGCAGCUCGCUGGGACGGUACUGACGCUGAGGUGCGAAAGCGUGGGGAGCGAACAGG